ensembl:lncRNA
CACAUUACUGUCUUUGAAUGCAGGUGUCUGCUGUAAGCUACAUUUGAUGUAGUGUUUUCUUCUGUAGUCUCUGCUUCCCCCAAUGAGACUGAGAUGGAGGCAGACGGUAAAGUGACCCUCCACUGCAUCCUGUACACACAAGACAACUGUGGAGGAUCAGAGGCAGAUGAAGGAGUUAGUCUGAGCUGGGUGGAUGAGGGAGGGAAAGAGCUACAGAACGAUAACAAUCGCCAGAUCAGAACCACACCUCCCUGUUCCAUCACACUGACUGAGGAGCUCAGAGGUCCAAACCCUGUUCAUACUCGGACAUGCCAGCUGACUGCAGGAGGGCAGGUUCAGACUUCUGUCUCCCACACCAUCAGAGUGAAAGAAUGAAACUGUCACCACUGCUUCCUCAAACUCAGGCCCAUCAGCAACAAAGUCCUCUCCUCCACCGACAGACUCAGGAACACCAGUUCCCCAAGGUGUCCUUCUGGUUGCUGGAGUUGUUGUCUCUGUCAGUCUGUUGGCUGCUGCAUUGAUGACAAUUGUGGUGAUAUGCAAGAGAAGGACAAAUGCUGGAGGAGAGCCAAGACACAAAUCAACUCAAAACAGGACCAGUGCCGUAGUCAUGCAGUCUGUUCAGCCAUCAAACUCCUCAGCUAAUGAGGAGGAAGGAGCUGAUCUGCACUAUGCAACCUUUCAGCACCUCAACCAAACACAAGCUGGGCCUUCUGCAAAGCAGUCUGAGGACACCGUGACCUACAGCACCAUCAUGCAGUUAUCUGGUGGUGAACACCAGAACAGCAGACCUGCUGGCAGACCAGCGGAUCCCAAUGCUAUGCAUGCUACUGUUCAGGAGAAAAACAACAUACAGAAUUAAUAGUCAUAUGGAUACACACAUAUAUACUGUAUAUACACACACACAUAUACACAUACACAGACACUCAAACACACACACACACACAUACUCAAACACACACACACAGACACAUACUCAAACACACACACACACACACACACA